UAUAUUACAAUAUAUUUAAUUUUACAGUAACUUUGGCGUGGAAUAAGUCUGGGAAGCAAGUAGCUGUGUUGAAUGGUUUUACUUAUUACUGUGCUUCUACGUGUUCGAGGACCAUCGCCUGGCGCUGCACACGAGUAACAUUGGUCACCAAUAAAGCUGGUAAAAAUCUGGCGAUCAUUGAAGGUCACACGUACUACUGCGGCAAAAGUAGCACUAACACUUUCGCCUGGCGAUGCACGAGAGGCAAAUCGUGCAAGGCGAGAUUUAUAACGGACAAAAAUAUGGAAAUUAUAAAAUCUCAUUUAGUGCACGAGCAUCUACCGCCAUCGUUUUUUAUCGAUAAUGGGAUGUACUACAGACUGUGAAUAAUGUCAAAUGAAGCGAAGAUGCAGUGGGUAAAAAAUACAAGUAGGAAAAGAAUAGCCGUUUUAGGAAAUUACACGUUUUAUAACGAUCGAAAAUCAAGCAAGUCUUGGCUAUGGAGGUGCACGAGGGGUCGGUCUUGCAAAGCUAGGUUUUAUUUAAACAAUGACAUGACUAUCGUUAGAAAAUCGCUGAUACACGAUCAUAGUGCGCCGCAUUUUGUGAUACGUGAUGUGAGAUGGGUAAAAAACGAUUCGGGUAAAACAUGGGCUAUGAUAAAUGAUUAUACGUUUUACAAUGAGAAGAAAAGCAAGACGACAUCGUCAUGGCGCUGCACGAGGACCAACACUUGCAAAGCGCGUUUUAUAUUGAAUAGAGAAAUGGAAAUUAUCAAAUCGUUCUUCGGCCACAAUCACAAAGCAGCACGACAUUGACGUGGGUGAAGAAAAACAAUACCGGAAAAAUUUUAGCUAUUUUAGACAAUUAUACCUUUUCUAAAAGGAGAACAUUCAAGUCGACGUCACUGUGGUGCUGCACGAGAACUACUACAUGCAGAGCGCGAAUAAUCGUUGAUAGUAAACUGAAUCUUGUUAAAACACAUCUUGACCAUAGUCAUAAAUCAACGAAAUACGUGAUUCGCGAUGGGAUUUACCAUAAAAUUUAAUUGCAUGGGUAAAAAAUAAGUCGGGAAAAACAUUAGCUAUUAUCGACGAUUACACGUAUUACAACGACAAGAAAUCGAUAUCGACAUCAGCCUGGCGUUGCACAAAAGGUUGCAAAGCAAGGUUCAUCAUUAAUAACGAUAUGGUGAUUGUCAAAGCUUCUCUCAGCCAUAAUCACGAACCAUCGAAGUACAUGAUACAUGAAGGCAUUUAUAUCAAAAUUUAGAGAAUAAUAAUGCUGUUUAAUGAUAUCGUACCGAACAAAGUAAUCGAUACAUAAACAUUUCUAUUGAUGAUUUCAAUAUUAUUAAUUUGUCAUGAAUGUGAUAAUUAAUGAUAACAAAUGAUAAGUAGAGCUGGAAUUUUAUUUGGAUUACUUAUUGCGUCAAAAUCAUAUGUAAUAAAUGUAAUGAAUUACAACGCACUUAAACGAUUAUAAUAUCGGCAAUUUUUAACCACAAAAAUGUAAAAAAUAAUUUAAAAAAAAAAAACAAAAACAAAUUAUAGUUGAAAAAAAUCUAUUUGUCGUUUUAAUCAAUGACGUGGGUUAAAAAACAAUCUGGCAGUGAUUGGAAAUUGUUGGCUAUUAUAGAUAACUAUACGUUCUAUAAUCAGAAAAGAUCCAGGUUGACGUCUACCUGGCGCUGCACGAGGAGCACCACAUGCAAAGCACGUUUCCUCGUGAAUAACGAAAUGCAACUUGUCAAAUCUUCCAUUAGCCACAAUCACGAAGCAUCGAAUUAUGUAAUCCGUGAUGGGAUUUUUGUCAAGAUAUAGACUGUAAUAAUUAUUGUUAUUUAUUUAAAUUAUAAAAGAUGCAUUUAAAAUGAAAUAAAAUUUAUUCGAAGCGUUUUACUGUUUUUUUUUUUUUUUUGUAAAGUAAUGUUAUUUAAAAAUAAUUAUGAUUGAUACAAGUUUUAAUAACAAUAAAA
rnacentral:misc_RNA from 1 species